UAGGGAAUCUUCCACAAUGGACGCAAGUCUGAUGGAGCAACGCCGCGUGAGUGAAGAAGGUCUUCGGAUCGUAAAGCUCUGUUGUUGGUGAAGAAGGAUAGAGGCAGUAACUGGUCUUUAUUUGACGGUAAUCAACCAGAAAGUCACGGCUAACUACGUGCCAGCAGCCGCGGUAAUACGUAGGUGGCAAGCGUUGUCCGGAUUUAUUGGGCGUAAAGCGAGCGCAGGCGGAAUGAUAAGUCUGAUGUGAAAGCCCACGGCUCAACCGUGGAACUGCAUCGGAACUGUCAUUCUUGANUGCAGAAGAGGAGAGUGAACUCCAUGUGUAGCGGUGGAAUGCGUAGAUAUAUGGAAGAACACCAGUGGCGAAGGCGGCUCUCUGGUCUGCAACUGACGCUGAGGCUCGAAAGCAUGGGUAGCGACAGGAUUAGAUACCCUGGUAGUCCAUGCCGUAAACGAUGAGCGCUAGGUGUU
rnacentral:rRNA from 1 species